GGAGCAGAAAAGAAUGGAGCCGGGCCCGAGGUCGUGGAAGGAAAAGUGAGAAAGGAGGCAAAGCAGCUGAGAAAUAAUACAAAAAAAAUAGCCAAAAAGCAGUUUUGGGUUGUGAGAGCACAUGGAGGUGAGAGCACACAGAUGUGAGAGCACAUGGAUGUGAGAGCACAUGGAGGUGAGAGCACAUGGAGGUGAGAGCACAUGGAGGUGAGAGCACACGGAUGUGAGAGCACAUGGAGGUGAGAGCACAUGGAGGUGAGAGCACAUGGAGGUGAGAGCACAUGGAUGUGAGAGCACAUGGAGGUGAGAGCACACGGAUGUGAGAGCACAUGGAGGUGAGAGCACAUGGAGGUGAGAGCACAUGGAGGUGAGAGCACAUGGGAUGUGAGAGCACACGGAUGUGAGAGCACAUGGAGGUGAGAGCACAUGGAGGUGAGAGCACACGGAUGUGAGAGCACACGGAUGUGAGAGCACAUGGAGGUAAGAGCACAUGGGACAAAGGCGUAGAAUAUUUGUAUCGUAGAAUCAUAGAAUCACGGAAUGGUUGGGUCGGAGGGGACCUCAGAGAUCACAGAACCACAGGACAGUUUAGGUUGGAGGG